rnacentral:misc_RNA from 1 species
CGAAAUGCGAUAAGUAAUGUGAAUUGCAGAAUUCAGUGAAUCAUCGAAUCUUUGAACGCACAUUGCGCCCGCCAGUAUUCUGGCAGGCAUGCCUGUUCGAGCGUCAUUUCAACCAUCAAGCCCCGCGCUUGUGUUGGGGACCUGCGGCUGCCGCAGGCCCUGAAAACCAGUGGCGGGCUCGCUGUCACACCGGGCGUAGUAGAUUUUAUCUCGCUCAGGGCGUGCUGCGGGUUCCGGCCGUUAAAAAGCCUUUUUUACCCAAGGUUGACCUCGGAUCAGGUAGGAAGACCCGCUGAACUUAAGC